rnacentral:tRNA from 1 species
GCUGUAGCUCAAUGAUAGAGCAUCUGCUUAGCAUGUAGAAGAUCCCAGCUUCAAUUCCCAGCAUCUCUA